rnacentral:rRNA from 1 species
AUUGAACGCUAGCGGGAUGCUUUACACAUGCAAGUCGAACGAGUAGCGGACGGGUCAGUAAUAUAUCGGAACGUGCCCAGUAGCGGGGGAUAACUAUUCGCAAGAGUGGCUAAUACCGCUUUCUAUUGGAUCGGCCGUUAUCGGAUUAGCUAGUUGGUGGGGUAAAGGCUUACCAAGGCAACGAUCCGUAGCUGGUUUGAGAGGACGACCAGCCACACUGGGACUGAGACCCGGCCCAGACUCCUACGGGAGGCAGCAGUGGGGAAUUAUGGACAAUGGGGGAAACCCUGAUCCAGCCAUCCCGCGUGUAUGAGAAGGCCUUCGGGUUGUAAAGUACUUUUUGCAGAGAAGCGGUAUCUGCAGAAUAAGCACCGGCUAAAUACGUGCCAGCAGCCGCGGUAAUAC